UACGUAGGGGGCAAGCGUUGUCCGGAAUCAUUGGGCGUAAAGAGCGUGUAGGCGGCUCGAUAAGUCUGCUGUGAAAAGUCCAGGGCUCAACCCUGGAAGGCCGGUGGAAACUGUCGGGCUAGAGUCCGGAAGAGGCGAGUGGAAUUCCUGGUGUAGCGGUGAAAUGCGCAGAUAUCAGGAGGAACACCGGUGGCGAAGGCGGGUCUCUGGGCCGUAACUGACGCUGGAGGAGCGAAAGCGUGGGGAGCGAACAGG
rnacentral:rRNA from 1 species